GAACUAAAAAAUAAUCAUGGCUUUGGGAGCAAUUUGAAAAGAUUAAUAAUAAAGAAUAUAAUGAUUAUAAAGCUAAAUGCAAAUAUUUUGCUAAAAAUCUUACAUGUCCAUCUAUUAAUGGAACUAUUUGUUUGAGGGCAUAAAGAGCAAUUUGCCUCCUAAACUUGGAAAUGAAUUUAUUCAUUUUUAAGAUCUUUAGAAAAUUAAUGCACCUACUUGCCAAAAGUGACCAAAAUAUUCAUUUUUUAACUUGAAAUUGAUGCGUGAGAUUCAGUUUCACUUUAAAGCGCGUAAAUUUUUUUUAUUAGAUAAUAUUUUAUAAACAAGUUGAUUAAAAAAAUCAAAUUUUCUCAUUAUUAUUUAUUUUAACUAAAAUAAAAUUAUAAUAAACAAAAUAAAUAUUUAAGUACAAUAUUUACAUUUUUAUGACCCAAAACUAAAACCCAGCAAACACCAAAAACUCUUUAUCUAUCUGAAAUCAAAACUAAUAAUGAAAAGAAUCUCGGAAUCAACAUAACAAAUUAAAAUUAAAUCCAAUCCUUCUUUACAAAUAAUCCUACAAGCAGUAUCUCAUCUCUUGCAUAAAAUCCACCACCACCAAUUUCUUAUCUUUUUGUCAUCCUUUAUAUCCUCUUCCACCGCCAACAUCAUC
rnacentral:lncRNA from 1 species